UNNNNNNNNNNNNNNNNNNNNCACACCAGGGGUACUCAACUAGAUACUGUUAACACUCACACCAGGGGUAUUCAACUAGAUACUGUUAACACUCACACCAGGGGUAUUCAACUAGAUACUGUUAACACUCACACCAGGGGUACUCAACCAGAUACUGUUAACACUCACACCAGGGGUACUCAACCAGCUACUGUUAACACUCACACCAGGGGUACUCAACUAGAUACUGUUAACACUCACACCAGGGGUACUCAACCAGAUACUGUUAAUCCUCACACCAGGGGUACUCAACCAGAUACUGUUAACACUCACACCAGGGGUACUCAACCAGCUACUGUUAACACUCACACCAGGGGUACUCAACUAGAUACUGUUAACACUCACACCAGGGGUACUCAACCAGAUACUGUUAACACUCACACCAGGGGUACUCAACCAGAUACUGUUAACACUCACACCAGGGGUACUCAACCAGCUACUGUUAACGCUCACACCAGGGGUACUCAACUAGAUACUGUUAACACUCACACCAGGGGUACUCAACCAGAUACUGUUAACACUCACACCAGGGGUACUCAACCAGAUACUGUUAACACUCACACCAGGGGUACUCAACCAGCUACUGUUAACGCUCACACCAGGGGUACUCAACUAGAUACUGUUAACACUCACACCAGGGGUACUCAACCAGAUACUGUUAACACUCACACCAGGGGUACUCAACCAGAUCCUGUUAACACUCACACCAGGGGUACUCAACCAGCUCCUGUUAACACUCACACCAGGGGUACUCAACCAGCUCCUGUUAACACUCACACCAGGGGUACUCAACCAGCUCCUGUUAACACUCACACCAGGGGUACUCAACCAGAUACUGUUAACACUCACACCAGGGGUACUCAACCAGAUACUGUUAACACUCACACCCCUCUUGUUUGGCGGAAAGAAAAUGUGACACUUUCAAAGCUAAUUUCCUGUAAUUCUACACGCUUUGUCCACUGGUGA
rnacentral:lncRNA from 8 species